CUCAAAUGAUAAUGGACUAUGCUCAAUUUGGUGAUGUAGUGACCUUUGACACUACUUACAAAUUAAAUAACGAGCAUAGACUUUUUGGAACCUUUGUUGGAUUUAAUCAUCAUCGAGAAACAGUUAUAUUCGGUGCAACAUUGAUGUAUGAUGAGACCGCCGAAUCAUUUACAUGGUUGUUUCAGAUUUUUUUGGAGACAAUGUCAAACAAAACUCCGAAAACUAUUUUCACAGAUCAAGAUGUCGCGAUGGCUAAGGCCAUUCCAAUUGUCAUGCCUACUACAAACCACCGACUUUGCACAUGGCAUUUGAUGCAAAAUGCGAUGAAGCAUGUAAGUUCUCUUUUUGAAGAUGUAGGGGUGAAGGGUGUGUUUUCUAAAUUUAUACAUGAAAUUGAUGACGAAGAAGAAUUUAGAAUACAAUGGGAACAAAUGCUUGAUAGAUAUGAUGCACGCAACAAUCAUUGGUUGGAGCAAACUUUUGGUGUGAAGGAGAAAUGGGGAUGGCCAUAUGUAAUGAAUUCUUGGGCAGCUGGAAUGAGUACUACUCAACUAAGUGAAUCAUUCAAUGCAUUUUUGAAGGAUUAUCUCAAUUGCGAUCAUAACUUGAUGAAAUUUUUUAUGCAUUUUGAGAGGGUGCUCUAUGACAAGAGAUAUAAAGAAUUAGAAGCCGAGAAUAAUUUGUCCCAAAAAUUGCCAAGGGUUUCAAUUCCAACUUUGAUGUUAAAGCAAGUGGCACAGAUUUACACCAAAAUAAUUUUUGAGGAAUUCCAAAACGAGUACGUGCAGUCCAUUGAAGCGUCCAUUGUAGGCACUAUUAAUGAUGGUGAGAGUACCAUAUUCACAAUUAGAACGGUGGUAGAUGGAAAAAAAGGAUAAAAAUGUGACAAUGGAUAGAGAUGGUUCUUUGAGUUGUAGUUGCAAGAAGUUUGAAGUAAAGGACAUAUUGUGUCGACAUUGUCUGAAGGUGCUUAGAGAUAUAUUCAAUGCAACAAACCUUCAUGCACAAUACAUACUGAAACGUUGGACUAAAAAGGCAAGGGCUAAAUAUGUGAAGGAUAGCCGUGGGUAUGACGUCAAGGCUGACGUGAAACUACAUCAACACGACCGAUAUAGGUCAUUGAUGAAUAUGUUUAGAGCAAUAGCAAGUAGAGCCGCUGAAAGUGAAGAAACUUAUCAUUUAUCACUUGCAAAAGGUGAAGAAUUGAGUGUAAUGGUUGAAGACAAAUUGAGUGUGCACACUUGUGGUCAAGUGGAGGUCACUGAAUUGAGAAAUUCUUCAACUAACACAUGCCCACAGAGUGACGAAGUAGAUUGUCCAAUCCAAGCUAAGGGACUAAAGAAAAGACAAGCAACUAGUAAGGGAAGAAGGAGGAUCAAGGGCGGGAUGGAAAAAUCUAUUGCGAAGAAGAAAAUAAUGCAAUCUAAGCAGGUAAUUAAUUUUGUUAUGUGUGAUUGUUAUGUGUUAUGUGAUAUGUGUUAUCAAUUUUGUAUUAUGUGUGUUUGGAAAAUAAUGAAUUAAAUAAAUUGGUUGUUUGCAGGGUGAUAGUUUUUGUACUCCCGAAGGUCAAUCUGAGCCUCCUGUCGCCAUGGGUAAUAUUUCUAGUCAGGAUGGUUCUUUUUCUGCUUCUCAAGGUCAAUCUCAACCUUCUUCCACCGUGGGUAAUAAUUCAAUAUAGGGUGUUACUGUUUACAUUCCGCAAGGUCAAUGUCGACCUCCUUUCGCCGUGGGUAGUAAUUAUGUUGAGG